rnacentral:lncRNA from 1 species
GAAACAACAGAAAAAUAAAAAAAUAUGAAUUUUGUGAAUGUGACGAACGUCACACACCCCAUCACGAUCGUCACGCUACUCUUGAUUGUGACGAACGCCACAAGUCCAUCACGACCGUCACGUAUGCAAAGUCAGCGUAAUGGGUUUUAAACAGAAGUGGUCCACAUUGAAGGAGAAUGGCCAUCCAAGGCGCAGCGGAAUUUAAAAAAUUUCUCCAUUUAGUGAUCCUUACGAAUGAG